GCUGAGUGUGCUAGAGUACACCUGUAGUCCCAGCUACACAGGAAGCUGAGGUGGGAAGAUUGGUUGAGCCCAGGAAUUCUGGGAUGUAGUGUGCUAUGCCACUGAUUAGGUGUCCACACUAAGUUUGGCAUCAAUAUGGUGACUUCCAGGCAACAGGGAACCACAAGGUUGCCUAAGAAGAGGUGACCCAGCCCACUCAGAAAAGAGCAGAUGGAAACACCUGUGCUGAUUAGUAGAGGGAUCUCACCUGUGAAUAGCCACGGCACUCCAGCCUGGGCACAGAGUGAGACUUUAUCUCUU
rfam:Otolemur garnettii contig132585, whole genome shotgun sequence.